rnacentral:rRNA from 1 species
CGUGGGUAACCUGCCCAAGAGACUGGGAUAACACCCGGAAACAGAUGCUAAUACCGGAUAACAACACUAGACGCAUGUCUAGAGUUUAAAAGAUGGUUCUGCUAUCACUCUUGGAUGGACCUGCGGUGCAUUAGCUAGUUGGUAAGGUAACGGCUUACCAAGGCAAUGAUGCAUAGCCGAGUUGAGAGACUGAUCGGCCACAUUGGGACUGAGACACGGCCCAAACUCCUACGGGAGGCAGCAG